rnacentral:misc_RNA from 1 species
GUCAAGCUCAAGCAACUUCAGAGGCUUAGAUAAGCUCGUUCAUCUAUUACAUUUAUGAAAAUGUCUACUGCUUACUAUUUAGAAAGUCUAAAACCUUGAAUUCUAAUCAAGAUUUACCGCCACUGUAACCCAAUUCUCAAACCUUCAAUUCCAAACUCAGAGCUAGCAGGUUACCUCAUCCACCGAAACCCCACAACACAUUGCAAGAACUAAACUAUAAAACUAAUCCGCAAACACAUUAAAACCCCAGAUUAUGCAGGCCUACAGCAAAACACAAAUAACUGGACAAUUGAAGAAAAGACACAUAGCUUAGGUAGCAU